UACGGGGGCAAGCGUUGUUCGGAAUUACUGGGCGUAAAGGGCUCGUAGGUGGCCAACUAAGUCAGACGUGAAAUCCCUCAGCUUAACUGGGGAACUGCGUCUGAUACUGGAUGGCUUGAGUUUGGGAGAGGGAUGCGGAAUUCCAGGUGUAGCGGUGAAAUGCGUAGAUAUCUGGAGGAACACCGGUGGCGAAGGCGGCAUCCUGGACCAACACUGACACUGAGGAGCGAAAGCCAGGGAGCAAACGGG
rnacentral:rRNA from 1 species